AGAUGAGGCCGAGACAGAAGGAAACCAGGGUACAAGAGAUUGAAAGCUGAUCUAAAAUGGAAAGCACAGAUCCUACCUCUUUAAGCUGGUCCUGCCCUGAAAUGGAAGAAUCUGGCGGCUGCAGAUGGAAUGAGUCCCUUGGUCUUGAGUCCCUGUGUCUGCCACCUGAUGCCAUCCACUGAUCCAGACCAUUGGAGAAAACUGAAUUUUUCAUCGGAAUUACACAGCUACUUUUAGACAUCCACCCCGCCUUUUUGCAGCUCUGGUUAAGAACUAGAAUGUCUCGGUUCCCUCUCCCUCCCUGCCAGGCUCCAGCCCCCAGCCUCCCAGCUGGCCCUCCAAGAUCCUGGCGCCUCGCGUCCUCCCCUUUAAGGCCCGCCCUUCCCCCACACCCACGCCUCCCCAAGCC